rnacentral:rRNA from 1 species
CCUACGGGAUGCAGCCGUGGGGAAUAUUGGGCAAUGGGCGCAAGCCUGACCCAGCAACGCCGCGUGAAGGAAGAAGGCUCUCGGGUUGUAAACUUCUUUUAUCAGGGACGAAGCAAGUGACGGUACCUGAUGAAUAAGCCACGGCUAACUACGUGCCAGCAGCCGCGGUAAUACGUAGGUGGCAAGCGUUAUCCGGAUUUACUGGGUGUAAAGGGCGUGUAGGCGGGAAAGCAAGUCAGAUGGGAAAACCAUGGGCUCAACCUGGGGCCUGUAGUUGAAACUGUUUUUAUUGAGUACUGGAGAGGCAGACGGAAUUCCUAGUGUAGCGGUGAAAUGCGUAGAUAUUAGGAGGAACACCAGUGGCGAAGGCGGUCUGCUGGACAGCAACUGACGCUGAGGCGCGAAAGCGUGGGGAGCAAACAGGAUUAGAUACCCGUGUAGUC